GCCCAUAUAGCUCAGUGGUAGAGCACUUCCUUGGUAAGGAAGAGGUCACCGGUUCAAUCCCGGUUAUGGGCUCCA
rnacentral:tRNA from 1 species